rnacentral:rRNA from 1 species
AUGAAUUGCUUAAGUUGGAACUGUCGAGGGGCGGGGAACCUUCGCACAGUUCGUGAUCUUGUAGCGCUUGUGGGUGCUCAUUCCCCGAAAGUGGUCUUUCUGUGUGAAACUAGACAACCAAAAGAAAAGAUGUAUCGUCUUCGUAAUCGAUUAGGCUUAGCUGGUUUUGAAGGAGUUAGUAGUGAUGGUCGUAGUGGUGGUCUAGCUUUAUUUUGGCAUGAGUCUGUAUCCCUGGUUGUUCAAGAGGCUAAUAAUAGAUGGAUUGAUGCUUAUGUCCGUUUGUCACCUGAUGAUCCUUUGUGGCGUGUCACCUUUGUGUAUGGCGAGCCACGAGUGGAAAAUAGACAUUUUAUG